AGAGGGUUUGAUCAUGGCUCAGAUUGAACGCUGGCGGAUGCUUUACACAUGCAAGUCGAACGGCAGCACGGACUUCGGUCUGGUGGCGGUGGCGAACGGUGAGUAAUGUAUCGAACGUGCCUAGUAGCGGGGAUAACUACGCGAAAGCGUGGUGAAUAAUGCAUACUGCCCUUCGGGGGAAAGCGGGGACUCCUGGCCCUCGCACUAUUAGAGCGGCCGAUAUCGGAUUAGCUUAGUUGGUGGGAGAUAACGGCUCACUACAGCGACGAUCCGUAGCUGGUUUGAGAGGACGACCAGCCACACUGGGACUGAGACACGGCCCAGACUCCUACGGGAGGUGCAGCAGUGGGAAUUUUGACAAUGGGGGAAACCCUGAUCCAGCCAUCCCGCGUGUGCGAUGAAGGCCUUCGGGUUGUAAAGCACUUUUGGCAGGAAAGGAAAACGGCACGGGAUAAUACCCCGUGCAACUGACGGUACCUGCAGAAUAAGCACUGGCUAACCACGUGCCAGCAGCCGCGGUAAUACGUAGGGUGCAAGCGUUAAUCGGAAUUACUGGGCGUAAGCGUGCGCAGGCGGUUCGAAAGAAAGAUGUGAAAUCCCAGAGCUUAACUUUGGAACUGCAUUUUUAACUACCGGGCUAGAGUGUGUCAGAGGAGGUGGAAUUCGCGCGUAGCAGUGAAAUGCGUAGAUAUGCGGAGGAACACCGACGGCGAAGGCAGCCUCCCGGGAUAACACUGACGCUCAUGCACGAAAGCGUGGGGAGCAAACAGGAUUAGAUACCCUGGUAGUCCACGCCCUCAAACGAUGUCAACUAGCUGUUGGGGCCUUCGGGCCUUGGUAGCGCAGCUAACGCGUGAAGUUGACCGCCUGGGGAGUACGGUCGCAAGAUUAAAACUCAAAGGAAUUGACGGGGACUCGCACAAGCGGUGGAUGAUGUGGAUUAAUCUGAUGCAACGCGAAAACCUUACUCAAUUCUUGACAUGUCUGGAAUCCCGAAGAGACGGGGAGUGCUCGCAAGAGAACCGGAACACAGGUGCUGCAUGGCUGUCGUCAGCUCGUGUCGUGAGAUGUUGGGUUAAGUCCUGGCAACGAGCGCAACCUUGUCAUUAGUUGCCACGAAAGCACUCCCAUCGACCGCUGGUGACAAACCGAGGAAGGUGGGGAUGACGUCAAGCUCUCAUGGCCCUUGCGCAGGGCUUCACACGUCAUACAAUGGUCGGGACAGAGGGUCGCCAACCCGCGAGGGGGGAGCCAAUCCCAGAAACCUGAUCGUAGUCCGGAUCGCAGUCUGCAACUCGACUGCGUGAAGUCGGAAUCGCUAGUAAUCGCGGAUCAGCAUGUCGCGGUGAAUACGUUCCCGGGUCUUGCACACACCGCCCGUCACACCAUGGGAGUGGGUUUUACCAGAAGUAGUUAGCCUAACCGUAAGGAGGGCGAUUACCACGGUAGGAUUCAUGACUGGGGUGAAGUCGUAACAAGGUAA
rnacentral:rRNA from 1 species